GGGGGGUUUCGGGAUUAUUGGGCGUAAGAGCUCGUAGGCGGUUUGUCGCGUCUGCCGUGAAAGUCCGGGGCUCAACUCCGGAUCUGCGGUGGGUACGGGCAGACUAGAGUGAUGUAGGGGAGACUGGAAUUCCUGGUGUAGCGGUGAAAUGCGCAGAUAUCAGGAGGAACACCGGUGGCGAAGGCAGGUCUCUGGGCAUUAACUGACGCUGAGGAGCGAAAGCAUGGGGAGCGAACAGGAUUAGAUACCCUGGUAGUCCAUGCCGUAAACGUUGGGCACUAGGUGUGGGGGACAUUCCACGUUUUCCGCGCCGUUGCUAACGCAUUAAGUGCCCCGCCUGGGGAGUACGGCCGCAAGGCUAAAACUCAAAGGAAUUGACGGGGGCCCGCACAAGCGGCGGAGCAUGCGGAUUAAUUCGAUGCAACGCGAAGAACCUUACCAAGGCUUGACAUGAACCGGUAAGACCUGGAAACAGGUCCCCCACUUGUGGCCGGUUUACAGGUGGUGCAUGGUUGUCGUCAGCUCGUGUCGUGAGAUGUUGGGCUAAGUCCCGCAACGAGCGCAACCCUCGUUCCAUGUUGCCAGCGCGUUAUGGCGGGGACUCAUGGGAGACUGCCGGGGUCAACUCGGAGGAAGGUGGGGACGACGUCAAAUCAUCAUGCCCCUUAUGUCUUGGGCUUCACGCAUGCUACAAUGGCCGGUACAAAGGGUUGCGAUACUGUGAGGUGGAGCUAAUCCCAAAAAGCCGGUCUCAGUUCGGAUUGGGGUCUGCAACUCGACCCCAUGAAGUCGGAGUCGCUAGUAAUCGCAGAUCAGCAACGCUGCGGUGAAUACGUUCCCGGGCCUUGUACACACCGCCCGUCAAGUCACGAAAGUUGGUAACACCCGAAGCCGGUGGCCUAACCCCUUGUGGGAGGAGCUGUCGAACGUGGGACUGGCGAUUGGGACUAAGUCGUACAAGUAACC
rnacentral:rRNA from 1 species